rnacentral:rRNA from 1 species
UACGAAGGGGGCUAGCGUUGCUCGGAAUCACUGGGCGUAAAGGGCGCGUAGGCGGUCUUUUAAGUCAGGGGUGAAAACCUGGAGCUCAACUCCAGAACUGCCUUUGAUACUGAAGAUCUUGAGUUCGGGAGAGGUGAGUGGAACUGCGAGUGUAGAGGUGAAAUUCGUAGAUAUUCGCAAGAACACCAGUGGCGAAGGCGGCUCACUGGCCCGAUACUGACGCUGAGGCACGAAAGCGUGGGGAGCAAACAGG